UACGUAGGGGGGCAAGCGUUUGUUCGGAAUUACUGGGCGUAAAGGGCGCGUAGGCGGCAUGGCAAGUCGGGAGUGAAAGCCCGGGGCUCAACCCCCGGAACUGCUUUCGAAACUGCCAAGCUAGAGUGCGGAAGAGGCAACUGGAAUUCCCAGUGUAGCGGUGAAAUGCGCAGAUAUCAGGAGGAACACCGGUGGCGAAGGCGGGGUCUCUGGGCAAUAACUGACGCUGAGGAGCGAAAGCAUGGGGGAGCGAACAGG
rnacentral:rRNA from 1 species